UACGAAGGGGGCUAGCGUUGCUCGGAAUUACUGGGCGUAAAGGGAGCGUAGGCGGACAUUUAAGUCAGGGGUGAAAUCCCAGAGCUCAACUCUGGAACUGCCUUUGAUACUGGGUGUCUUGAGUGUGAUAGAGGUAUGUGGAACUCCAAGUGUAGAGGUGAAAUUCGUAGAUAUUCGGAAGAACACCAGUGGCGAAGGCGACAUACUGGAUCAUUACUGACGCUGAGGCUCGAAAGCGUGGGGAGCAAACAGG
rnacentral:rRNA from 1 species